GCCCUACUGGUACAGUUCAGCUGGUAGAGCAUGAGACUCAUAAACCCAGGGUCGUGGGUUCAAGACCCACGCUGGGCA